rnacentral:rRNA from 1 species
AACGAACGCUGGCGGCGUGCUUAACACAUGCAAGUCGAGCGAGAAAGGGGGGGCAACCCCCUGAGUAGAGCGGCGCACGGGUGACUAACGCGUGGGUAACCUACCCCCAGGCGGGGGAUAACCACUCGAAAGGGUGACUAAUACCGCAUGAGACCACGGGAUCUUCGGAUCUUGCGGCUAAAGAUCGCACCGGCUUGCCGGUGCUGUCACCAGGGGAUGGGCCCGCGUCCGAUUAGCUAGUUGGUGAGGUAAUGGCUCACCAAGGCUACGAUCGGUAGCUGGUCUGAGAGGAUGAUCAGCCACACUGGAACUGAAACACGGUCCAGACUCCUACGGGAGGCAGCAGUGAGGAAUAUUGCGCAAUGGGGGAAACCCUGACGCAGCAACGCCGCGUGGGUGAAGAAGGCCUUCGGGUCGUAAAGCCCUUUCGGACGGGACGAACGCUCCGCGGUGAAAGCCGCGGAGUCUGACGGUACCGUAGGAAGAAGCACCGGCUAACUCCGUGCCAGCAGCCGCGGUAAUACGGAGGGUGCGAGCGUUGUUCGGAAUUACUGGGCGUAAAGCGCGUGUAGGCGGCCUUGCAAGUCAGGCGUGAAAGCCCUCGGCUUAACCGGGGAAGUGCGUCUGAAACUGCCUGGCUUGAGUACGGGAGAGGGAGGCGGAAUUCCCAGUGUAGAGGUGAAAUUCGUAGAUAUUGGGAGGAACACCGGUGGCGAAAGCGGCCUCCUGGACCGAUACUGACGCUGAGACGCGAAAGCGUGGGGAGCAAACAGGAUUAAACACCCUGGUAGUCCACGCG